GGCGCGAGGUGAACAUCGGAGGCAAUUCGUCACUUUCGUCCGGCAGCGAACGCCGCGCUGCUUCGUAAGGCGAGAAGUCAUCGUGGUCGCGGUCAGCAGCACAAAAGGCAUUAUUACUCGCGGCCGGAGCGCAAAGAACAAGAGGAAGAACAACGAAAUCGAGAUCCCACCUGGGCGCUCGCGGCUCUUAUCUGGCCUCGCGUCGCGGAGCGCGAGCGUCAGUGCUGCCGUGGUCAUCGUCGACUAAUCGCGUCCGCACUCAACUCUCGUUGCAGUGUGCUUCCUCGACAGAGCAAUGGAGGACGCCAGCAAGGGGCCCGGCUGGCAGCGCGGCGCCACGACCAACAGCGGCGCCAGCCCCGUCAACGGCGGCAAGGACGGCAAGGACGGCAAGGCGUCGGAGAGCACCUCGCUGUCGCCCAACAACCAGACUUACUUCGCCGACGCCAGGAUACCCAUACCCGAGGUCCACGACGGAAUAUUUAGUUUUAGGAAAUUAUGGGCUUUCACUGGACCAGGAUUUCUAAUGUCCAUAGCGUACCUCGAUCCUGGUAACAUCGAAUCUGACUUGCAAUCUGGAGUUAUCGCGAGAUACAAGUUACUAUGGGUACUGCUAAGCGCCACGAUACUCGGCUUGGUCAUGCAGAGGCUAAGUGCUCGACUUGGUGUGGUGACUGGACUUCAUCUCGCUGAGAUGUGUUAUCGUCAGUACAAAAAGCUACCCAGACUAAUACUCUGGAUCAUGAUUGAGAUCGCGAUUAUCGGUAGUGACAUGCAAGAGGUCAUAGGCACGGCCAUUGCACUUUACCUUUUGACCAAUAAGGGACUUCCAAUAUGGGGUGGAGUUCUCAUCACGGUGAUUGACACGUUCACUUUCUUAACUCUAGACAAAUAUGGUUUAAGAAAGUUGGAAUUGUUUUUCGGUUUCCUCAUCACUAUUAUGGCUAUAACAUUUGGUUAUGAGUAUGUGAAAUCGGCUCCUCCACAAGGAGAAGUCAUGAAAGGCAUGUUUAUACCAUGGUGCGAGAAUUGCGAUAGCCAAGUUUUACUGCAAGCCGUUGGUGUAAUUGGAGCUGUUAUAAUGCCACACAAUCUGUAUCUACACAGUGCACUUGUUAAGUCUCGUGACGUCGACAGGAGACAUCCUCAGAAAAUCAAGGAGGCAAAUAUGUAUUAUUUCAUUGAGGCAGCCAUUGCUCUUCUUGUAUCAUUUGUUAUCAAUGUUUUCAUUGUGUCUGUUUUUGCCAAUAGUCUUUUCGGUAAAACCAACAACGAUAUCUACGAUAUUUGCGAGAGCAAUAAUUUUACUCAAGGAAUGGAGAUAUUUGAGAGGAACAACAAGCCAUUUGAUGCCGAUUUGUACAAAGGCGGUAUCUUUUUGGGUUGUUCAUUCGGUUUCGUAGCGAUGAUCAUUUGGGCUGUCGGAAUAUUGGCUGCUGGUCAAUCAUCAACUAUGACUGGUACCUAUGCCGGUCAAUUCGCUAUGGAAGGUUUCCUCAACUUGCAAUGGGCACGAUGGAAGCGAGUUCUUUUUACUCGUACGAUCGCAAUCGUACCUACAUUUUUCGUAGCUUUCUAUGCAGAUCUCAAUGAUCUUACAAAGAUGAACGAUAUUUUGAAUGCUGUGAUGAGUCUUCAGUUGCCGUUUGCCGCACUGCCCACUAUUGCGUUUACCAGUAGUGUUAGUAUUAUGGGAGAAUUCAAGAACGGAAUAUUUAAUAAAGUGGUAGCCUCUGUAUUGUCGAUACUCGUAAUAACGAUCAACAUUUACUUCGUCUCUCAAACAGUAUCGGAAUAUAUCGCAGAUGAUUCCACUUAUGAAAAAGAAAUAAUCAUCACAGUCAUAGCAAUAUUUUCAAUGUGUUAUUUAUUGUUCUGUUUAUAUCUUGUAAUACAUAUGGCCAUCAGCAUGGGAGCGACGUCCCUUAAUAAUAUCCCAUUUAUCGUCAAAUAUAUUGGUGGUCCAGUAGAAACAAGUUUUGGAUUGAAUAAUCCAGUGAUGUAUUCGAGUUUCACCAACAGAUCCGAAACAUCCUUGGAUGCCUAAAAUUGCGGGGCUCUCGAACUCUAUCUCAGAUCCGUACAUUCUUUCAUAGUCUCGAAUCAAAUACAAAUGUCUAAGAAACAGAAAAUUUAUUAUCUACCAUUGUCACGUUGGCUUCCUAAUGCUGUUGUAUGAGCAAACAAAGCUGAGGAGUGAUUUUUAAAAUGAAGAAAAAACCCAGGAUUCUGUGAUAACGAUAGUGCAGCUGGAGCCUACAACAUAUUCGUGUUAUCGUAACGGAGCGACAAAGUAAUUUUAUCUGAUAUUCUUAGUAUAAUUUAACUAUACAUAUAUUACGAGUCGUAAUCAAGUAACCGUUUGUUCAUUUCAAUUUUAAAACAUAGACAAAUGAUGUACAGUAUCGCAUUUUCUGCCAGUAAGUUUGUACAAUUUGACGGGAUAAUAGUCGAUAAAUUGAUGCGUUUCACUUGGAAUAUGUAUAUAUGACAGACUUCGCGGCGCAACUUGUAGCUAUAAAAUUCUGUUUAAAAUCGCGUGUAAAGACAACUUUUAAAAACGAUCCUUUUUCUAUAUAAAUUAGGAGAUCUAUGCGAUAGAUGUUUAUAAUUAUAUUGAUUUUAAAUGGUGAAAACAGUGUUUACUCGGACAACAUUUGUUAGCAUAAAUCAAUUAAUUCGGAUAAAUGUUAUAUAAAUAGGAUUAUUUUUACAAAGUAAAUUUUUUUUUAUCGCUCAUGUAUGAUUUUCGCGAUAUUAUACUCGUAUAAAAGGAGGCAUAAAGUGCUGAUUUACAGACCGAUGGCACAAAAAUUUAGCGACAGGUGUGAAGUGACUUUCAGAGGGUAUGCGCGUAGUCACACCAAAUGCAUUAAUAGGAAUUAGCUGCCAUGUCGAAAUAUUUGGUACACCUUUUACGAGUGCAAUAUUGCAAAAUCAAUAGGUGCGCGAUCGAAGGUUAUCGUGUGCGUUAUAAUAGUACUCGUCUCCGUGACCCCACCCUCAGUCCCAAAAGCCCCUCUCUAUACCCUUUGCAAUGUACUAUUUAGCACAUAUGAUUGAAUUUGAAUAUUAACUAUUUUGUGUUAAUUAACUUGACGUUUUAGCAAAUGUUUUGUUUCCUUAUUUGAUAAACAAUAUUGAAAAAAAUGUAUAAAUCUAGAUACAAAUUAAGGAAUAGAGAACAAAUUAAUUUUGAAAGUUUUAUUUCACCUAUGCACAUAAAGUUUUAUUUAACUUAUGCACAUAAGUUAAAAAAAUAUUUUAUAUGAACAAUACCAUUUCAACUACUGUUAUAAUUUUUGUUUAUAAUUUUAAUUCAUUACUUUUAAAUUGUUUUCGUAAAAACAUCUGGUGUUCAUGUUCUAUUCAAAUUCUACAACAUAUUCUUUAUGUAACAAGAAUCAAGUAAUAAAUUGAAAUUUUUAUACUAAGAAAAUACUCAUUU